AUUUAUAAAAUAUAACUAUGUAUAUAUGACUUCCAAUCAUAAAGACUAAAUAAUUUUAGUAUAAAUA
rnacentral:tRNA from 1 species